UAAAAAUACGCGUGCUCUUUGUGAAUUAAGUGCAAGAGUUGUUAAGUGUGGAUACGCAGCCCUGCCCUCCUGCACUAUCAGCAGUGGGAGCAGCAGAAACCCCUCAACAGCAACAUUUUACCCCAUCAGGUAAAACAUAGGCUAUGUUUGCUUUGCCUUAUUGCCACCUCACAACAGUGAUAUAGUAUGAUGCAAUCCCAUAUUAGAUACUUGAUGAAUGUGUGUUGUUGUUAUUCAGCCUGGUUCAAUGUGCCCCUUUUUAACUUGAGCACCCGCCCCUUUAAACAUCUCUGCAUGGCCCUGACCAGGAGGGGAGAGAGACACACAAACAACGAGCGCUCCCGUCCAUUAUUCUUGCUAAUGUGACAAGCUGCAAGCCUGCAUCAACCACUUCCAGACCGUGAAUGCACUGGGAAGCAACAUGGCGGCAGCUGGUGCCCUACAAUCACCGUGAGGGCUGUUUCCCUGUGUCCCUACUACCUCCUCAGAGAAUUCCCACAGCUUUUCAUCAUCUUGGCCCUGACAACAUCAGCAAUCGUUUGAUCUAUAGUGUUACAUCAUAUUCUAUAAGGAUGUUAUGUGUUUGUAGACUUUCUGCCCAGUUUGACCCAUUUAGCAGACGUCAGCCUGUUUAAGGCUCUGAUGUCUAUUCUGUGUGACUUACAGCAGUUAUGACAUGGUCUGAUUUUCUCACCCAAUAAAGGAAUAUUUCAUAUAUCAGUCUAC
ensembl:lncRNA